GAUGAACGCUGGCGGUAUGCUUAACACAUGCAAGUCGAACGGACUCUUCGGAGUUAGUGGCGGACGGGUGAGUAACGCGUGAGAAUCUGGCUUUGGGUUCGGGACAACCACUGGAAACGGUGGCUAAUACCGGAUGUGCCGAGAGGUAAAAGAGAAAUUGCCUGAAGAUGAGCUCGCGUCUGAUUAGCUAGUUGGUGAGGUAAAGGCUCACCAAGGCAGCGAUCAGUAGCUGGUCUGAGAGGAUGACCAGCCACACUGGGACUGAGACACGGCCCAGACUCCUACGGGAGGCAGCAGUGGGGUAUUGUCCGCAAUGGGCGAAAGCCUGACGGAGCAAUACCGCGUGAGAGAAGAAGGCUCUUGGGUUGUAAACCUCUUUUCUGAGGGAAGAACAAAAUGACGGUACCUAAGGAAGCAGCAUCGGCGAACUCCGU
rnacentral:rRNA from 1 species